rnacentral:rRNA from 1 species
GACUACCGGGGUAUCUAAGCCUGUUUGCUCCCCACGCUUUCGCGCCUCAGCGUCAGUUAAUGUCCAGCAGGCCGCCUUCGCCACUGGUGUUCCUCCUAAUAUCUACGCAUUUCACCGCUACACUAGGAAUUCCGCCUGCCUCUCCAUCACUCAAGAAAUACAGUUUCAAGUGCAGUUUAUGGGUUAAGCCCAUAGAUUUCACACCUGACUUGCAUUCCCGCCUACGCGCCCUUUACACCCAGUAAAUCCGGACAACGCUCGCCACCUACGUAUUACCGCGGCUGCUGGCACGUAGUUAGCCGUGGCUUAUUCAUGUGGUACCGUCACUUCUUCGUCCCACAUAAAAGAAGUUUACAACCCGAAAGCCUUCUUCCUUCACGCGGCGUUGCUGGGUCAGGGUUUCCCCCAUUGCCCAAUAUUCCCCACUGCAGCCCCCCGUAGG